UCUUAAUUCUGCAGAAAGAAUUGCUCUUGCCAAAAGUUUUCCAGGAUCCCUUACAAAGAAAGCUCUUGCAGUUGUGGAAGCUUUGGAAGGGAAGCGGGUAGAAGCAUUCAUGACUUCACUGAGAGAAAUGGCAGAGGAAAGUGGCUUACUGUUGAAGAAGCUUGACAAAAAAUUGGAAAGAAGUCUUCUGCAUUCAUAUCGCAAGGAUUUGUCAGCUCAAGUUUCUGCUGAAACUGAUCCAGUGACUCUUCUGCCUAAAGUUGUUUCCCUACUCUAUAUUCAGGUUUGCAGUAAAGCCCUUCAAGCCCCCGGAAGGGCCAUUUCUAUUGCUGUGUCUCGAUUGAAGGACAAACUAGAUGAUUCAGCAUAUAAGAUCUUGACUGAUUACCAAACUGCAACAGUGACACUUUUAUCUCUUGUUUCUGUUGCAACUGGUGAUGAAGAAGACUGUACAUCUGAUAGAAUUUUGAGUAAAAGAGAGUUCCUAGAGAAUCUAAUGCCCGCAUUGAAAGGGCUGGUUUUAAACACUUCCCAAUCUUGAGAUAGCAUGAUUUCAAAUUUCCCGAGGUGUUUGGCAGCUGAGAAAAAAAAUUUGCAUUGACCAGGCA
rnacentral:misc_RNA from 1 species